GCCAUUGUUUGCAGCCAUUGUGGGAAAUGGCCAUUAUAAGAGGUUUGACUGUAUAUAAAAUAUAUAUUUAUAAACAUUUUUGUAUUCAUUUAUAGUAUAUAUUAUAUCACAUCGAAUAAAAUCGUAUUUUUCAAUAUACAGUAUUUCAGUGCUUAAAGUUAGGAUGUUUCUUAUACCUCAGUCAGUCUUCACCAGAUUAACUAUUCAUGAACUUCAGGUAUACACUGAAAAACAUAUUAUUUUAAUUCAAAAUUUUUUCCCAGAACAGAGUUACAUAGAAGACUCGCAUGAAUCUGUUGCCAACAGGAAAAGUAUGAUGUUCAAGAGGAAAAAAUUCUAAUGCUCGUUACACUUCUAAAGUAAUGAUAACCAACUUUUCCUUGGAAAUCUAUUUUUAUAAGUCAGAGUGAAUAUCCAAUUAUUGUUUCUUUCGAUAAAUAAGAAAGAAGAACAAUAAAUGAGAAGACACUUUAUCAGAUUUUUAUAAAUGGACAAAAUAGUUUAACUUUUAACUGAAACAAAUUAUGAUGAGUCGUACUUUAUUGCAUUUCUCCAAGCCAAAAAUAUCUUAAAUUCCGA